UCGCUUCGGCAGCACAUAUACUAAAAUUGAAACAAUACAGAAAAGACUAGCUGGGGCCCUGCACAAGGAUGACACAAAAUUUUGUUAAGCGUUCCAUCGAGCU
rnacentral:snRNA from 1 species